GAGUUUGUGCUCGGUAUAGAAUCUGUCAUACUGCAACAAAGAGCGGAGUAGAUAUAGGCAUCAAGAUCAUUCAGGGUUGAAAUAAUUGUCGUCGGACUAAAAAUCCAGAGAAGAACAAGGAAAGGAGGAUCAAUGACACGAGCUAGAAAAAUCAAGGGGGAAAGAAGGAGAAACCUGAACAUUCAGCCAAAGCUGUGGGGGCUUAGUUCCUGCUACAUCAUCGACACUAGAUAUUGGCAGCAGGCCAUCAAACACAUCUGGUCGAGACAUUAUAUUUUGCAUCACUGCACAACAACAGAACAAGAAAGGACACAAAAGAGUGUGAUUCAGCAUAUUGUUGACAGAAGCAAAUUUGAAAAUUGGAAAAGGUGAUACAUACAUGUGACAUUGCUGUAUAGCUCAUCAAGUAUGUAAUCCAAAGCAAACGAUCCAUGUACAUUCUCUCCAUUGACUUUAUUGCAGAAAAUAGCUGGACUCGUAGAACCUGCAGUUGUGCUAAUAGCCAUCGUAUUUGCAAUCUGGCUCGAUUCAGGAGCGAUCCCCGAUAAUCCACCACGAGCUAUAACAAGGGGUGGUUUACCUGCAUUUCAGGAACAAAUAUAAGGAAAAAAAAUAUGAAGAGAAGAAAGAAAUCAACAUCAUGUUACCACUUAAGGUUUCCAAAACAGAACCAGUUGAUUAAAAAUUAGCAAUAUAAUAUAGAAGGGAACUGCCACAGGAACGAUGACAGCUCAAACCUUAACGAUUUAACCCUUUUUUGGAGUCCCCAGCUAACUUAAACGGAGCUCUGUUGUUAUGGUUUCCUUUUUGAGCCCUAUAGUCAAAGAAAUUUGGUUCUAUGUAUUGCAUGUACCAUAACAAACAAUUGGGGUACAUGUAUUCGUGGUGUUAUGAGCAUAUAUACGACCAUGUAAUCACUUCAAUGAUAGCCUAAUGGUAAAUCUCUUUGGGAUCAAACUGUAUGGACUCGGAAGGUCGUGAGUUUGAUUCACAAGAGCAAUACUCUUGUGGUCACGCGCUGAAUAUUGGUAUAAUUUAUUCUAUCUUUAAGCGAGAAAUUUCUUUGUGGACAGGUUUAA